AGCCUGUACAGCGAAUGAAACGCAUGAAGAAGCAUACGUUUUACCGCGCUAUUACGUAGAGAAAAUCAGAAUCAGAAAUCAAAAAUCCUGUAACCCUAAUUAUUUCAUGUUUAAAAUCCACAGCGCACCUGGAAAAGGCACCAGCCGAGGGUCGUGUGAAUAAGGCAUCUAUUCACUGCGCUGGCCCAUUAACGAAUGCAGCCCAAGAUCACACACCUCAAACCUUCACAUUGCAAUUGCCACUGAUUGACUUAGUAUACAGUUAAAGUUGAAAUAUGUCUGUGAGCCUAACAAAUAUUUAAUAGCUAAUGAAUUCUGAAUAUUUUUCUGCAUAAAAUUUACAUACAUUUAUAUACAUUUCUCUAACGAGUCAGUUUUUUCCGAAGGGUCCACAUGAAGAUAAAAAGACUUCUAACUGCAUCGGAAGCUCAGAGGUGGCAGUUGUUGCUUUUGAAGUACUAAUGCAACAUAAGGGGCAGGUUAUUGUGUGCAAAUUGGAUAGAGGGUUUGUCAUGAGUUUGAGAAGUAAGGAGGAAGUGCUGGACACCUCUGUGCUAUAUCUUCUGAUCUUUUUGCAUCCACAACAUCAAGUUUGUGUUUUAUUUCUUUUGAAGAACACUUGGAUGCCUAUUGGCUAAAAUAGCACGCGUCCUUUUGCAUAACUGCAUUGAUUCUCUGAACUGGUAUUUAAAAAUCGGAAUAUUUUAAAAGUGCUUAAGAUGGAAAAUCACUGUUUUUAUUGUAGCUUCUUUUAAAAGUCCAAGAAAUUUGACAUUUUAGAUAGCGUACAAUUUACGCAACAAAAUUAAGAGAAGUAAUAAUUGGUGUGAUGAUUGUAUUUGAAGAGUUGAAAUUAUGCUCAAAUUGAAUAGCUAUAUUGCGGAUGUGUGCAUGAGUGCGUCGCAUGUGGUGUGAAGUGAUGGAUAUGGUCAGAAUUAAAUUUUCAGAGCGUAAAACAACUGGAAGAAAAACUUACAUUUCUAUAUUAUGAAAUGCAUUCAUUAUGAGCGAGCCUGGAGAGAAUCUUUCUGGGGCACCCCUGGUGAUGUCACGCACGACAGGGUCAGCGCACGGCAGACCCCUGCAAGUUUAAUAUGCAAAUGCCACUAAUGGCCCGUAACAUGCUGUGUGCACGUUUGUGUAUGAAAUGAACAAUUUUCCCCAUUAUCCACAUAUAGUCAGUGGGACAUUUUUAGGCAAUUCAAAUUUAGAACAUUACUAUCUGCUACAAUGGCAGUGACCCAGCUGGGAGUCAAAGCUAUACUUCCCCAGUGGCUAUACCACUAUUCAUACCUGUAUCUUAUCAACCCGCUGUAGCUAAGCAGGGUUAGCAUUGGUUAUUACUUGGUUGGGUCAUUUCCUGGGGAAGCUAAUGGUUUAUUCAAUAGGCAGUAUGUUCCGUCUAAUUGGCCAUACCCGCAACAUUCUGCAUCCAAACGUUCAGUCCAGUCCUGUGUUGGUUAACAUGUUCGGUAAUAUUUUAUUGCUUUUGAAUAGACUCGAAGUUGCUGCUGGAAGAGGUAUUUUGGUGGGCCAGGAGGCGGCACCCUUCUUUUGGACUAUGCAGGAAAACCACUGCCCUAGGGUAUAGGGUUAAAAAAUAUGGCCCUCCAAUCCAAAUCCAUCCCUGGAUUUCUAUCCUCCCUGGGCAUUAACUGAACAAUUGGCGCUAUUGAUUGGCCAUGCUGUCUUUACACCUGACUCCCAGGUGAAGGGAGGAUGGAAAACCAUGAUUUGAUUAUCCCUGUGCACUGUUGGAGGCUCUUUGGACGCCAUUUUUGGAUGUGACAUUGUGAGGUCCUAAGAGGUCCUGGCUCUCUCUGGUCAUUAAAAUCUGAUGCCACAAAAUCCCAUAGUACCUGGCACAUAACUGUCUUUAAAGAUUUGGAUAAAACAUGUUGCCGGACAGAAACGUCUCAAAAGUUUUUGGGUGAAGAACAUAAAGAUGUACAGUGUUGUCGAGGGACAUCUUUUGUCAAAUUAGUGUUGAGCACCCGGAAGCUCAAUAACAUCUUUGUUGCGGCCGUGUACAGAUGCAGCCAUCAUUAAGAUUUAUUAAAAAUAAAAUGUAAUCACACAUUUGACAGCGGGGUCAUCACUGGCAGACUCGGUGCUCACAAAAUGUCACAACCCACGUAGCCCAGUAUUUCUGUUCCUACUUAGUGGCCUUGUUAAUGCUCCUUCCCCCACACGCCCGUCAUUUUGAAUGCAUGUUUUUGAAUGCAUGUGCGACCCGGUUUUUGAAGGCCCGCUCUUGCCCACGGUUUAAUUAUGCCACAGGAAAGAACAUCUCUGCGAUUAAAAGCUCCUUCAGAACCGAGCGUGUGGCAUAUCCCUAAUGACUGCCAAUGUCCUGUGGAGGAUGCAUUAGAACCUAUAAGAAUAUAAUAGCACUUUGCAGUGAAUGAUGAUGUACCACGGCUGACUCAUCCUACUCCCCACAGUGUACUAUUCCGUUUGCACGCGGACAGUUGAUACUCUCUUCAGUUCCACCACUCGCUCCUCAAUAAUGCAUGCCCAACCCGGAGGGGAGAUCGCCUGAGAUCACUGAACCUCAACGUCUGACUAGGGUUUCCACCACCGAAAGAAUGGUGGCAGUUGACUUUACUUUAUUCAAGUGCUCUUUACACUUGUAAUUCAAAAAAUGUUUUGAAUGCUUUAAGGUGUGACCCAAGGAAUUCCAGUUUAGAGGUUGCAUUGCUCUUAUUAAUUGAUUUUAAAAGGUAACCAAAUAUAAUCCUUUUCUUGUUUUCUGUAUUUGGUUGAGAUGUGGAUUUAUUCAUAUGCACUGCGUACAUAGAUUUUGAGUGAUGUGUAAGUAUUAAUACAGGAACUGAUGGUUAAAUCGUGCAAACUCACAUCCUGGAACAUCACAGCUAAAGUGUAAAGUAGAAUUUUUUUUCUCCGAACCUGUGUCCUGGAAACAUAGUGGAUUGCAUAACCAUUCUCCUUAAUUAUAAUUAGAGUUAAUUAUAUUUGUGCCAUUGUGUGUCAGAAGCAUUGUGUGUUUUGCGGAAACACAAGCACCACCGGUAUGUAAAUGUUUAUUUUUUAAUCCCGAUAAAUAUAUGGGGAUCAAAUGUAAAUCAGCUAUGUGUAAAUUAAUUGAAAUAUCCAACGCGUGGUUUAAGGGGUUAAUUGCAAACUGCUUAAUUUUGCUAAUUGCCUCUGCUAUGCAGUGCGUCAGAGCUCCUUGCGUGAGGGUCUAUAUAUGUAGAGCCGGGUGUAGGAGAGGACUCCUGAGAUUGUCUGCUGGGUGCACCAUGAACCUGCUGGUGAGCUACUUCGUACCCCUAAUCCUCAUCUCAUGGGGAGGUCAGCGCGCUGGGGCACUGCCCACAGGAGACAGACUGGCGCUGCUGGGCAAUGGGGCAUUGGCUCAGGAGCACAUAGACUUUCUGUUGAAGAUGCUGUCGGGACUGCCAGAACUCAGCGGUCAGGAGGAGGAGGAGGAGGACACUGAUUUGGACAGUGACCUGCAGCAGCAGCGGCGGGUCAAAUUCAGGGAGAGGUCCCUCGUCGGUCGGCCCGUCCCCCGUGAGCGCUCCCCCUGCAAGAACUUCUUCUGGAAGACCUUCUCCUCCUGCUAAUGCCGCCCAAGAUCCAGCCGCUGCCACCGGUGCCACGGCGAGGGCCUGUUACGGCUGUCAUCUCAUCUCAGUGUGAAUAAACUGCUAAACUGCGA